GUCUGACGUGUGCAAGACAGCGAAUGUGAAAGUACAUAGAAACUCUACAGACUGAUGAGAAUUACUUUAGACGGGGUACGUCAACGAAUAGGCACGACAGCGAAAAUACGGAAGUCACUUCGGGGACGUGUCGCAGAAUCGCAUAACUCUACACGAGAUUAAAAGAAAGAAAAAAAGACAAUGAAGACAACCAUGUAAAAACAAAUUCAAUCAAUUAAAUUAUCAGCAGAUUGAAA